ensembl:sense_intronic Gm12122 predicted gene 12122
GAAGCAAGCCAGUAAGGAACGUCCCUCCAUGGCCUCUGCAUCAGCUCCUGCUCCCUGACCUGCUUGAGUUCCAGUUCUGACUUCCUUGGUGAUGAACAGCAGUGUGGAAGUUUUCAGCCUUCCUUCUCCUGGCAGUUGAAAAAAGCCUUGUGUGGCUUAGCCCACCUUUGCAAGCCUGGUGCUGCCUGAGGGGGUGUAAGGGGGUAACCACCUCUGUUCUUGAUCUGACCUGACUAAUUGGCCUCAGGGAAGUAAAUUAUAUAGAAAGAAGAGCUGUCUCUGACGCUGGCUGCUGCGUUCAUCCCUAAGUAUAGGAGACACGAAGAAGAACCACAUCACCUUGUAAAUCUGUUAUGGCCUCUUGGCCUCUGAGCCAUAAUAAAUAGAAUCCUCGCAGGCUGUCCUGAAGAUAUGAAGACGUUUUGUGAGAACAUCUGGCAUUCAUUGACUAAGG